AAGUCGUAACAAGGUUUCCGUAGGUGAACCUGCGGAAGGAUCAUUACUAGAGCAAAGGAUAGGUAACGCCCCGCCGAAGCUUGCUUCUGAAGGGCUGCGCCGUCGAACCUCUCGGAGAAGUUCGGUCCUGAACUCCACCCUUGAAUAAAUUACCUCUGUUGCUUUGGCGGGCCGCCUUGCGCCAGCGGCUUCGGCUGUUGAGUGCCCGCCAGAGGACCUCAACUCUUGUUUUUAGUGAUGUCUGAGUACUAUAUAAUAGUUAAAACUUUCAACAACGGAUCUCUUGGUUCUG
rnacentral:misc_RNA from 1 species